rnacentral:rRNA from 1 species
AUUGAACGCUGGCGGCAUGCUUUACACAUGCAAGUCGAACGGUAACAGGCCGCAAGGUGCUGACGAGUGGCGAACGGGUGAGUAAUGCAUCGGAACGUGCCCAGUCGUGGGGGAUAACGCAGCGAAAGCUGUGCUAAUACCGCAUACGAUCUAUGGAUGAAAGCGGGGGGCCGUAAGGCCUCGCGCGAUUGGAGCGGCCGGUGUCAGAUUAGGUAGUUGGUGGGGUAAAGGCUCACCAAGCCAACGAUCUGUAGCUGGUCUGAGAGGACGACCAGCCACACUGGGACUGAGACACGGCCCAGACUCCUACGGGAGGCAGCAGUGGGGAAUUUUGGACAAUGGGCGCAAGCCUGAUCCAGCAAUGCCGCGCGCAGGAAGAAGGCCUUCGGGUUGUAAACUGCUUUUGUACGGAACGAAAAGGUCUGGGUUAAUACCCUGGGCUGAUGACGGUACCGUAAGAAUAAGCACCGGCUAACUACGUGCCAGCCGCCGCAGUAA